AUGCCUGUACCAUAACCGACACAGGUGGGUAGGUAGAGUAUACUAAGGGGCGCGAGAUAACUCUCUCUAAGGAACUCGGCAAAAUGACUCCGUAACUUCGGGAGAAGGAGUGCCUUAUUUAUAAGGUUGCAAUAACAAGAUCCAAGCAACUGUUUAUCAAAAACACAGGUCUCCGCUAAGUCGUAAGACGAUGUAUGGGGGCUGACGCCUGCCCAGUGCCAGAAGGUUAAAGAAGUUGGUUAGUGUAUGCGAAGCUGAUGACUGAAGCCCUGGUGAACGGCGGCCGUAACGAUAACGGUCCUAAGGUAGCGAAAUUCCUUGUCGGGUAAGUUCCGACCCGCACGAAAGGCGUAAUGAUUUGGAUACUGUCUCGGAGAGAGGCUCGGUGAAAUAGACUUGUCUGUGAAGAUGCGGACUACCUGCACCAGGACAGAAAGACCCUAUGAAGCUUUACUGUAACUUGAAAUUGGAAUUGGACUUUGCUUGCGCAGUAUAGGUGGGAAGCGUUGAAGAUAUUCUUGCGGGAGUAUUGGAGCUAUCAGUGAGAUACCACUCUUGUAAUGUUAGAUUUCUAACUUUGAACCAUAAUCUGGUCAAAGAACAGUUUCAGGUGGGCAGUUUGACUGGGGCGGUCGCCUCCCAAAUGGUAACGGAGGCGUACAAAGGUUUCCUCUGAACGGAUAGAAAUCGUAUCUAGAGUGUAAAGGCAUAAGGAAGCUUGACUGUGAGACCUACAAGUCGAGCAGGGACGAAAGUCGGUCUUAGUGAUCUGACGGUACUGAGUGGAAAGGCCGUCACUCAACGGAUAAAAGUUACUCUAGGAUAACAGGCUGAUCUCCCCCAAGAGUUCACAUCGACGGGGAGGUUUGGCACCUCGAUGUCGGCUCAUCGCAUCCUGGGGCGGUAGUACGUCCCAAGGGUUGGGCUGUUCGCCCAUGAAAGCGGUACGCGAGCUGGGUUCAGAACGUCGUGAGACAGUUCGGUCCAUAUCCGGUGUAGGCGUUAGAAUAUUGAGAGGAGCCUUCUUUAGUACGAGAGGACCGAGAAGGACACACCGCUGGUGUACCAGUUAUCGUGCCAACGGUAAACGCUGGGUAGCUAUGUGUGGAGUGGAUAACCGCUGAAAGCAUCUAAGUGGGAAGCCCACCUCAAGAUGAGUACUCUCAUGGAGUAGUCCAGUAAGGUCACGGGGAGAACACCCGUUGAUAGGCGUUAGGUGGAAGAGCAGCAAUGUUUGCAGCC
rnacentral:rRNA from 1 species